GACGAAGGUGGCGAGCGUUGUUCGGAAUCACUGGGCGUAAAGCGCACGUAGGUGGUGUCGUAAGUCGGGUGUGAAAUCCCUCGGCCUAACCGAGGAACUGCGCCCGAUACUGCGAUGCUUGAGGAUCAGAGGGGUGCAUGGAAUUUCCGGUGGAGCGGUGAAAUGCGUUGAUAUCGGAAGGAACUCCGGCGGCGAAGGCGAUGCACUGGCGGAUUUCUGACACUGAGGUGCGAAAGCCAGGGGAGCAAACGGG
rnacentral:rRNA from 1 species